rnacentral:rRNA from 1 species
UACGAAGGGGGCUAGCGUUGUUCGGAAUCACUGGGCGUAAAGGGCGCGUAGGCGGCCUGCUAAGUCGAACGUGAAAUCCCCGGGCUCAACCCGGGAACUGCGUCCGAUACUGGUAGGCUUGAAUUCGGGAGAGGGAUGCGGAAUUCCAGGUGUAGCGGUGAAAUGCGUAGAUAUCUGGAGGAACACCGGUGGCGAAGGCGGCUUCCUGGACACUUACUGACGCUGAGACGCGAAAGCGUGGGGAGCAAACAGG